UCGUCCUCCGGCUAACCGUCUAGUUCUUUCUGUUGUUGCACUCCGAACUCUACUUACUCUUCCACCCCAACUCUUUCCACAGAUUUCACACUAUCCUUGGCCCCUCACUUCUGUUUUCAGAGUUUAAGUCUUACGGAGGAAGGAAAAGGAGCUAUUUGAAGAAAACUCAAGAGAAGAAAAAGCAAAAAUAAGAGACUUUUAUCAGAAGGACAAGUGAAGGCAAGAUUUAAUUCUUUAUAAAAGAAAUCACCGAAUAUUUCAUAUCUAUCUAACUGAAGUUACCCUAACUGGAGGUA